UACGUAGGGCGCAAGCGUUUGUCCGGAAUUAUUGGGCGUAAAGAGCUCGUAGGCGGUCUGUCGCGUCGGCUGUGAAAACCCGGGGCUCAACCCCGGGCCUGCAGUCGAUACGGGCAGACUAGAGUGCGGUAGGGGAGACUGGAAUUCCUGGUGUAGCGGUGAAAUGCGCAGAUAUCAGGAGGAACACCGGUGGCGAAGGCGGGUCUCUGGGCCGUAACUGACGCUGAGGAGCGAAAGCGUGGGGAGCGAACAGG
rnacentral:rRNA from 1 species